rnacentral:rRNA from 1 species
GGGAAUAUUGGACAAUGGGGGCAACCCUGAUCCAGCCAUGCCGCGUGAGUGAUGAAGGCCUUCGGGUUGUAAAGCUCUUUUGGCGGGGACGAUGAUGACGGUACCCGCAGAAUAAGCCCCGGCUAACUUCGUGCCAGCAGCCGCGGUAAGACGAAGGGGGCAAGCGUUGUUCGGAAUUCCUGGGCGUAAAGGGCGCGUAGGCGGUUUGCUUAGUCAGGCGUGAAAGCCCUGGGCUUAACCUGGGAUGUGCGCUUGAUACUGGCAGGCUUGAGUGUGGGAGANGUUGGUGGAAUGCCCAGUGUAGAGGUGAAAUUCGUAGAUAUUGGGAAGAACACCGGUGGCGAAGGCGGCCAACUGGACCGCAACUGACGCUGAGGCGCGAAAGCGUGGGGAGCAAAC